GUACCGCCUGCCCUGUGACCACAUGUUUAACGGCCGCGGUAUUUUGACCGUGCAAAGGUAGCGCAAUCACUUGUCUUUUAAAUGAAGACCUGUAUGAAUGGCACGACGAGGGCUUAACUGUCUCCUUUCUCCAGUCAAUGAAAUUGAUCUCCCCGUGCAGAAGCGGGGAUAUGUACAUAAGACGAGAAGACCCUAUGGAGCUUUAGACACAAGAACAGACCAUGUUAAGCACCCCAAAUAAUGGACAAAACUGAUUGAGCCCUGUUCUAAUGUCUUUGGUUGGGGCGACCGCGGGGAAAUAAAAAACCCCCAUGUGGACUGAGAGCACAACACUCUCACAACCAAGAGCCACAGCUCUAAGUAACAGACACUCUGACCUCUAAGAUCCGGCACUUGCCGAUCAACGAACCGAGUUACCCUAGGGAUAACAGCGCAAUUCCCUUCUAGAGCCCAUAUCGACAAGGGGGUUUACGACCUCGAUGUUGGAUCAGGACAUCCUAAUGGUGCAGCCGCUAUUAAGGG
rnacentral:rRNA from 1 species